GAUGAACGCUGGCGGCGUGCCUAAUACAUGCAAGUCGAGCGAACAGACGAGGAGCUUGCUCCUCUGACGUUAGCGGCGGACGGGUGAGUAACACGUGGAUAACCUACCUAUAAGACUGGGAUAACUUCGGGAAACCGGAGCUAAUACCGGAUAAUAUAUUGAACCGCAUGGUUCAAUAGUGAAAGACGGUUUUGCUGUCACUUAUAGAUGGAUCCGCGCCGCAUUAGCUAGUUGGUAAGGUAACGGCUUACCAAGGCAACGAUGCGAGCCGACCUGAGAGGGUGAUCGGCCACACUGGAACUGAGACACGGUCCAGACUCCUACGGGAGGCAGCAGUAGGGAAUCUUCCGCAAUGGGCGAAAGCCUGACGGAGCAACGCCGCGUGAGUGAUGAAGGUCUUCGGAUCGUAAAACUCUGUUAUUAGGGAAGAACAAAUGUGUAAGUAACUAUGCACGUCUUGACGGUACCUAAUCAGAAAGCCACGGCUAACUACGUG
rnacentral:rRNA from 1 species